AAGUCGUAACAAGGUUUCUAUCGAACAAGUCCUUCCGUGGGUAACACUUGCCGAAGCCUUAGCAGCCCGAAAGGGUGCACCUCGACGACUGUAAAGAAUCAGAGGGCUUAAAUGCUAGUCUGCCCCUUCGUCUGGGCAGGCAACACUGUCAAAUUGCGGGAAACCCCUAAAGACCUUGACACCAAACGUUCACCAGAAAUGGUGGCGUGGCCGAGCUAAUUGCCCUGGGUAUGGUAACAGUUCAAGGUAUGAGCCUGAGAGAUCGGGUGAAA
rnacentral:misc_RNA from 1 species